rnacentral:rRNA from 1 species
AACGCGUAUAGAAUCUACCUCUUACUAAGGGAUAGCCCACACAAAUUUGGAUUAAUAUCUUAUAGUAUACAGACCUGGCAUCAGGAUUGUAUUAAAGGUUACGGUAAGAGAUGACUAUGCGUCCUAUUAGCUAGAUGGUGUGGUAACGGCACACCAUGGCUACGAUAGGUAGGGGCCCUGAGAGGGGGAUCCCCCACACUGGUACUGAGACACGGACCAGACUCCUACGGGAGGCAGCAGUGAGGAAUAUUGGACAAUGGAGGCAACUCUGAUCCAGCCAUGCCGCGUGCAGGAAGACUGCCCUAUGGGUUGUAAACUGCUUUUAUACAGGAAGAAACACUCUCACGUGUGAGAGCUUGACGGUACUGUAAGAAUAAGGAUCGGCUAACUCCGUGCCAGCAGCCGCGGUAAUACGGAGGAUCCAAGCGUUAUCCGGAAUCAUUGGGUUUAAAGGGUCCGUAGGUGGAUGAUUAAGUCAGAGGUGAAAUCCUGCAGCUCAACUGUAGAAUUGCCUUUGAUACUGGUUGUCUUGAGUUAUUAUGAAGUAGUUAGAAUAUGUAGUGUAGCGGUGAAAUGCAUAGAUAUUACAUAGAAUACCAAUUGCGAAGGCAGAUUACUAAUAAUAUACUGACACUGAUGGACGAAAGCGUGGGGAGCGAACAGGAUUAGAUACCCUGGUAGUCCACGCCGUAAACGAUGGUCACUAGCUGUUCGGACUUCGGUUUGAGUGGCUAAGCGAAAGUGAUAAGUGACCCACCUGGGGAGUACGUUCGCAAGAA